rnacentral:rRNA from 1 species
CAAUCCUGGCGACGAGCGGCGAACGGGUGAGUAAUGCUUGGGAAUCUGCCCAUUAGCGGGGAACAACCAGCCGAAAGGUUGGCUAAUACCGCAUACGCCCUACGGGGGAAAGCGGGGGAUCGUAAGACCUCGCGCUAAUGGAUGAGCCCAAGUCGGAUUAGCUUGUUGGUAGGGUAACGGCCUACCAAGGCGACAAUCCGUAGCUGGUCUGAGAGGACGACCAGCCACACUGGGACUGAGACACGGCCCAGACUCCUACGGGAGGCAGCAGUGGGGAAUAUUGGACAAUGGGGGAAACCCUGAUCCAGCGACGCCGCGUGUGUGAAGAAGGCCUGCGGGUUGUAAAGCACUUUUAGUGGGGAUGAAAAGCCUCGGGAUAACACCUCUGGGUCUUGACCUAACCCACAGAAAAAGCACCGGCUAACUCUGUGCCAGCAGCCGCGGUAAU